GACGAACGCUGGCGGCGUGCUUAACACAUGCAAGUCGAACGCAGUGGCGAACGGGUGAGUAAUACGUGGCGAACCUGCCCUCCUUUUUGGGAUAAGCCUUGGAAACGGGGUCUAAUACCGAAUAAAGGGGGAUGGGCGCGCGGCCUAUCGGGUUGUUGGUGGGGUGAUUGCCUACCAAGGCGGUGACGGGUAGCCGGCCUGCGAGGUGGACCUGGCACAUGGGGACGGCGAUACGUCCCAGAGUCGGACGGAGGGGGGCAGUGGGGGCUAUGGCAGAAUGGUCGACAGCCGGAUGCCGCGACGCCGCGUGGGGGAUGAGGGUUUUGGGGUUGUAAACCUCUAUCGCGAUCGAACGGGUGGGUGGAGAGAAAGCGCCGGCUAACUACGUGCCAGCAGCCGCGGUAAUAC
rnacentral:rRNA from 1 species